UGGGGAAUUUUGGACAAUGGGGGAAACCCUGAUCCAGCCAUCCCGCGUGUGCGAUGAAGGCCUUCGGGUUGUAAAGCACUUUUGGCAGGAAAGAAACGUCAUGGGUUAAUACCCCGUGAAACUGACGGUACCUGCAGAAUAAGCACCGGCUAACUACGUGCCAGCAGCCGCGGUAAUACGUAGGGUGCAAGCGUUAAUCGGAAUUACUGGGCGUAAAGCGUGCGCAGGCGGUUCGGAAAGAAAGAUGUGAAAUCCCAGAGCUCAACUUUGGAACUGCAGUUUAAACUACCAGGCUAGAGUGUGUCAGGGGGAGGUGGAAUUCCGCGUGUAGCAGUGAAAUGCGUAGAUAUGCGGAGGAACACCGAUGGCGAAGGCAGCCUCCUGUGAUAACACUGACGCUCAUGCACGAAAGCGUGGGGAGCAAACAGG
rnacentral:rRNA from 1 species